UUGGGACAAAAUUGUGGCAGCCUGUGAAAAAUGGUCCAUCUACAUCUGCGAGGCCCAGAAUCUCAGAAAAUGUGUCGAAAGCAGAGAAACCAAUAGGAAGCUCAAACCCGGGUCGUGUAUUUGGGCAUAACACUGGCACUUCAAGCAGCUGGAUUCCUUCGCUACGCAGAAUUUCUUCGGCCAAAAAAUAGAUAUGGGUUUUGAAGGAGUCACUUGAGGGGGCUUUGUUAGUGUCUCAAAUGUCAGGACACUCACAUUGCCAAAGGAAUGGGACUGUUAUGACGAGCAGGAUGCCUAAAGAUCGUCGUCUUCCCUGAGCAUCGUAUUAUCAUGCUAAAGACAUCGGAUGGUAACUAGGAGCAUACAUGAUGCUGCGUGGGGUAUAUGGCAGAAGGCAGAUGCCCCCAUUUCAGAUUCCAAAGAGGGAAAUUGACGACGAUGAAUCUAUUUGCAGAACAAGCUAUGUCGGUGGAUGUUUAUCCGCUUGCGUCCUGCGGGAGGGGGAAAACGCGGGAAAGGAUGUUUUUCUCAAUGAGGGGUGAGGGAAGUCAAGAUCUUUGAUUCUGCGUUCGGUGUCAAUUCAUUUUUUAUAUCAUCAUCUCACUUGAGUCAGAUUCAAGCGUUGUUUGGCUCAAUAAGGAUAUCUCGAGUGUUUUUUGUAUGCACUCGGCUCAUGAACACGAUUUUUUCCCUACUAAAGAUCAACUUGAUUUGUUUAUAUCUAAAAUAAUACUAUAACAAUAAGGUUCCUUUCUCGUGUCA